CCUACGGGAGGCAGCAGUGGGGAAUAUUGCACAAUGGGGGGAACCCUGAUGCAGCGACGCCGCGUGAGUGAAGAAGUAUUUCGGUAUGUAAAGCUCUAUCAGCAGGGAAGAAGAUGACGGUACCUGACUAAGAAGCCCCGGCUAACUACGUGCCAGCAGCCGCGGUAAUACGUAGGGGGCAAGCGUUAUCCGGAUUUACUGGGUGUAAAGGGAGCGUAGACGGCAGCACAAGUCUGGAGUGAAAUGCCGGGGCUUAACCCCGGGACUGCUUUGGAAAUUGUGCAGCGAGAGUGCAGGAGAGGUAAGUGGAAUUCCUAGUGUAGCGGUGAAAUGCGUAGAUAUUAGGAGGAACACCAGUGGCGAAGGCGGCUUACUGGACUGUAACUGACGUUGAGGCUCGAAAGCGUGGGGAGCAAACAGGAUUAGAUACCCGAGUAGUC
rnacentral:rRNA from 1 species